UGGGGAAUAUUGGACAAUGGGGGCAACCCUGAUCCAGCAAUGCCGCGUGAGUGAUGAAGGCCUUCGGGUUGUAAAGCUCUUUCGCACGCGACGAUGAUGACGGUAGCGUGAGAAGAAGCCCCGGCUAACUUCGUGCCAGCAGCCGCGGUAAUACGAAGGGGGCUAGCGUUGUUCGGAAUUACUGGGCGUAAAGGGCGCGUAGGCGGCUCUGAUCGUCGGAUGUGAAAGGCCUGGGCUCAACCUGGGAACGGCAUCCGAUACGGCGGGGCUUGAGUGUGGGAGAGGUUGGUGGAAUUCCCAGUGUAGAGGUGAAAUUCGUAGAUAUUGGGAAGAACACCGGUGGCGAAGGCGGCCAACUGGACCACAACUGACGCUGAGGCGCGAAAGCGUGGGGAGCAAACAGG
rnacentral:rRNA from 1 species